rnacentral:tRNA from 1 species
GUAUUUAUAGUUUAAUAAAAAUAUUAGAUUGUGGUUCUAAAGACAAAAGUUAAAAUCUUUUUAUAUACC